rnacentral:tRNA from 1 species
GGGCCCGUGGCGCAGCAGGAUAGCGCGGCAGCCUCCUAAGCUGUAGGUCCGGGGUUCGAAUCCCCGCGGGCCCGCCA